rnacentral:rRNA from 1 species
UGCAGUCGAGCGGAGUUUUUAAAAGCUUGCUUUUAAAAACUCAGCGGCGGACGGGUGAGUAACACGUGGGCAACCUGCCCUGUAGACUGGGAUAACUUCGGGAAACCGAAGCUAAUACCGGAUAAUCAUAGAAGUUGCAUAGCUUCUAUGUAAAAGUUGGGUUUACCUAACACUACAGGAUGGGCCCGCGUCGCAUUAGCUAGUUGGUAAGGUAACGGCUUACCAAGGCGACGAUGCGUAGCCGACCUGAGAGGGUGAUCGGCCACACUGGGACUGAGACACGGCCCAGACUCCUACGGGAGGCAGCAGUGGGGGAUAUUGCGCAAUGGGCGAAAGCCUGACGCAGCAAUGCCGCGUGAAGGAUGAAGGCCUUCGGGUCGUAAACUUCUGUCUAGAGGGAUGAAGAAAGUGACAGUACCUCUGGAGGAAGCCCCGGCUAACUACGUGCCAGCAGCCGCGGUAAUACGUAGGGGGCAAGCGUUGUCCGGAAUCACUGGGCGUAAAGCGCGCGUAGGUGGUCUAGUAAGUCAGAUGUUAAAGUGCGGGGCUCAACCCCGUAAUGCAUUUGAAACUGCUGGACUUGAGGACAGGAGAGGAAAGUGGAAUUCCUAGUGUAGCGGUGAAAUGCGUAGAUAUUAGGAGGAACACCAGAGGCGAAGGCGACUUUCUGGACUGUACCUGACACUGUGGUGCGAAAGCGUGGGGAGCAAACAGGAUUAGAUACCCUG